rnacentral:rRNA from 1 species
UACGUAGGGUGCAAGCGUUGUCCGGAAUUAUUGGGCGUAAAGAGCUCGUAGGCGGUUUGUUGCGUCGGCUGUGAAAUCCCGAGGCUCAACCUCGGGUCUGCAGUCGAUACGAGCAAACUAGAGUGUUGCAGGGGAGACUGGAAUUCCUGGUGUAGCGGUGAAAUGCGCAGAUAUCAGGAGGAACACCGGUGGCGAAGGCGGGUCUCUGGGCAUCUCCUGACGCUGAGGCGCGAAAGCGUGGGGAGCAAACGGG